AAAAAAGUGAUCUAGGGUUCCGGUACAUUUUCAAAAUUUAGAAAAUGGUAUGUCUGAGACCGAGAGUUCACGGUUCGCAAGAACUACACGGAGGGAUAAAAGCCCGGGAGGU
rnacentral:sRNA from 2 species